GCUAACAUACACUGCCUCACGCAUGAAGAUGAGAAGGGGUAGAUGCCGUAGGCACAAGAUCACCGUAGGCACACAACGCUACUCGUGAGGGAUAACUAAUCAGACCCUCAGAAUAUCAUAGAGAGUGCAAAAUGCCAUAGGCACAAGCUCGUCGCUAGCACACACUGCCUCUCACAUGAAGAUGAGAAGUGCUAGAUACCGUAGGCACA
rnacentral:lncRNA from 1 species